ensembl:lncRNA novel transcript
GAAUUUGGGGGUUUUCCUUUUUGCUCAUUACCUCCUUACUGCAGGGUGUUCUAACCAGGAGCCCAGGAUGCAGUUUGUGUACUGUGGGGCAGUUUGUUCUAACAAUUUGGCAAGCUUGUGCCCCUUUAAGGGAGACUAUGAUCAUCCUAGGUCAGAAUUAAUAAAGAUACCAGAUUCUAUCCUAUGGAAGAGCUAAGGCAGGGAUUGGGUGAAAAAAGAAGAAAAAAAUCUCAGUGAAUUCCAAGUAAAGUAGAAAACAUCAACAAAAACAAUUUCAGGCCGGGCAUGGUGGCUCACGCCUGUAAUCCCAGCACUUUGGGAGGCCGAGGUGAACGGAUCACGAGGUCAAGAGAUUGAGACCAUCCUGGCCAACAUAGUGAAACCCCAUCUCUACUAAAAAUACAAAAAUUAGCUGGGUGUGGUGGCACGUGCCUGUAGUCCCAGCUACUCAGGAGGCUGAGGUAGGAGAAUUGCUUGAACCUGGGAGGUGGAGGUUGCAGUCAGCCAAGAUCACGCCAGUGCACUAUAACCUGGUGACAGAGCGAGACUCCAUCCCCUGCCCGCCAAAAAAAAAAGCAAUUUCAAGACAAACUCAGUAAUGGAGAGCAAAACUAUAUAAAAGGAGACAGAGAAUUUCUGUGUCUGGCUGUCUGGCUUUAAUCACUCUCUAUGUUGGUAAUGUCAAAAUGUGUACACCCCAGACCUCUUUUCUAAGCUCCAGACUAAUUUUAGAGACUUUGGUGCCUCAGACUUUAAGACUGAACUCUUAUUAUCCCUCUUUUUAAUGCCUUUAUCCCUUGUUCUUCCCCUGACUUUCCAAACUCAGUAUUUUGCAGAAACAUUCAAUCCAUUGUUUGAGCUAGAAGCAGAGUGGUUGAGUCAUACUUGAUUCUUUCCACUUAAUUCAUGCCAGUAGCAAAUUCAGUAGCAAGUAUUGCUGUCAAAAGCUUGUCUCAAACAUCAUCACCUUUUCCUGGCUCUCUAAUGAACCAGUCUAGUUUCUUUCCAUUAAUUCUUAUCUCCUUCCAAUCAUUUCUCCACUAACAGACUUACUUAUCUGAUUAUAACUUAAUAAAGAUUUACUGCGCAAAACUCUUCAUUGAUUUUUCAUUACAAUUAAAACACAUCCAAGUUAUUUAUUAGGCACUGUAAAUUCCUUCAUUGUUUGGUUCUUGAUGAGGUCUUCAAUUUUUCAUUUUGCCACUUUGUUCUCACCCCAAGAGGAUGUCAAACUUACAUUCUUUCAGUUCCUUGAGUAAGCCCAGUUCUUUGUUGCUUUAGGGCUUCUGCUUAGGUUGUUUCUACUGCCUGAAAUGUUAUUUUUUGGCCACCCAUUAAGUAGGAACUUUGAGAUAAUUAUUUUUGUUACAAAGACACAUGUUUUAUUUAAAACCAAUGAGAGAAUAUUUGUUCAUAUUUAGAAAAAACAACGUAAUCAUUUUUAGACUUCUCAAUUUAAAAAAUCAAAACUACAAUUUUUUCUUAAUUUUGAACAUUUGUGUAAUAAUUGAUUAAAUAUGUCAAUAUCUAAAGAAAUAGUCAAGUUUUCCCAUGAAUAUUUGUAGUCCUCUAUUGCUUAUAUUUUACAAUAUAUCCAACAAUUGCUGUGGUUUAAGUAAUAUCAGUUUGACCUUUAUUUUGUUUUAAAAACAUAUGUGAUAUUAUCUGUGACAGAUAUCAAAGGAUAAAAUAAAACUGUUUUGUUACUAUUACCAUUAAAAAAGUAAAAGGAAGCAAAAUUGUCUCAUAGGCUUUUCAAUAAAAAAUUCUUUAAGUUAAUAUUUAAAGCUAAAUUUUAUUUGGAGAUGCUUUUCCAUAAUACAAAAUUAUUAGAGACUUUAAAUCUCUAAAAGCGGGGCAGGUGUGGUGGUUCACACCUGUAACUUUGAGAGACCAGCAGUUUGAGAGUACAAGGCAGGUGAAUCUCUUGAGCCCAGGAGUUUGAGACCAGCCUGGACAACAUGGAGAAACCUCAUCUCUGCAAAAAAUAUAAAAAAUUAGCUGGGCAUAGUAGCACUCACCUACUCAGAAUGUAAACUGGGACAGUAUGAAGCACCACUAUGGAGGUAUUCAAGAUAAGGGUCAAGUUAUGAAUUGAAAAGUUUGACUAAGGAGAUCAUCUGAUGGUUAUGUAAUGUUACCUUUCUUCUGAGAGCACAAUUUAAAUGGAUAUUAUGAAUGAAUGAGGAAUAUUGCCUUUUCCAUUUUCAUAGGAAUUAUCAACGAAUUUCACCCUUCACCCAGUUUCAAUGAGCUCACCUAUGAAUGUAAACUAGAAAUCACAAGUCCCAUGUGAGAAGAAAAGACCUGGGGAGCCAUGUAAGAGUGGGGAUGAAGUGAGGAGACAACAUCCUUAUCAAUGUCUGACUUCUAUACUUUUCAGUCCUUAAGGCUUUGCUUUCAAUCUGCCCUGUGGGGAUCCCCGAGAAAUCUUGGAAGCUGUGUUACUGGCGAUGAUGGGACAAGAGAUUGGACACACCUCGUUAUACCCCCUCGUCACUAACUGACAUUAAGUAUUGCUUCUUAUGGAUUAAACAGAAACGAGCCAUUCUGAAAGACUCCACACCAAUAUCAACAAACUCCCUGAUGCUUUCCCUCCCUGUCUGCAGUUUCAACACAACUAACCAGUACUUCUCUCUUAUAAGACCAUCAACCACUGAGUGGUUCUGGCAAGUCUAUGGAGGAUGCACAGUGAGGUUUUUUUUUGUGUCCUGUUUUUCACCUUUUGACAUCAGAGGGCCAAAAUCUCUACCCUCAAAUCAUGCUAAUGCUGCCAUGGGACCCAUGGAGAGGCAUGAAGCUCAAUUGUACAUAUGCAUGCUUGUCCUUUCAUAAAUAUGCAUUACUCCUCUUAUAGCUUAUGAAUAUGCAUAUUUGGCCACCCCAUUCAGCAUAA